UUCUUCCCUCUCUCAUAUUUUCAAUUUCCUCUCAGAGAAGAGAAGAGAAGAUGACAAUGCCAUCGUCGACUUUCAGUUUUGAUUUCCCAGUAAGCCAUCAUCAUCAUCUGUAUAAUGCCAAUGCCAUCGUCUACUUUCAAUUUUGAUUUCCUUUAGUAGUAAGCCAUCAUCAUCAUCUGUAUAAGGACUUCGGUAUCGAUUUACUGGGUUGGAGUUUGGAAGAACUAAUCAUCAGUUUGUUCAUCAGUUGAUACAAAGUGUUGAGGAAGAAGAAAACUUAUCCUUGGUGGUGGUUCAUUUUGCAAUAGGCUUUAGACUUUGGGUUAUUCAUAGGCAAAAUACAGAUUUCGACUCAUGCCUUUAUGCAUAAACUGAAAUAGAAAUUGUUGUUGCGGACAUCUUGGGUGUGGUUCAACUGUCAGAGGUUUUGGAUGCUUGAUGCUCGGAGAUGGAGUUCGGCUUUUGACGCAGCAAACUUAUGAAAGUGGUCAAUUGCCAAAGCCGAACUGUCGAAAUGCUGGUUUUUGCUUUGCUUUCUGUUUUUUCUACUUGAACUCUUAAACAGUUGAUGUUGUUGUAUGUGUGAAUUUAUUCAGGUCUUAAGACUCUUAAGUCUUAACGGUUAAAGUUUUUAAACUUAGAACUUUCAAGA